rnacentral:rRNA from 1 species
AGCGAACGCUGGCGGCAGGCUUAACACAUGCAAGUCGAACGCCCGUAGCAAUACGGGAGUGGCAGACGGGUGAGUAACGCGUGGGAACAUGCCCUUUGGUUCGGAAUAACUCAGGGAAACUUGAGCUAAUACCGGAUAAGCCCGAGAGGGGAAAGAUUUAUCGCCGAAGGAUUGGCCCGCGUCCGAUUAGCUAGUUGGUGAGGUAAUGGCUCACCAAGGCGACGAUCGGUAGCUGGUCUGAGAGGAUGAUCAGCCACACUGGGACUGAGACACGGCCCAGACUCCUACGGGAGGCAGCAGUGGGGAAUAUUGGACAAUGGGGGCAACCCUGAUCCAGCCAUGCCGCGUGAGUGAUGAAGGCCCUAGGGUUGUAAAGCUCUUUCGGCGGGGACGAUAAUGACGGUACCCGCAGAAGAAGCCCCGGCUAACUUCGUGCCAGCAGCCGCCGUAAUAC